rnacentral:lncRNA from 1 species
AAAUGUGUCAAGUGUGUACACAGACAAAGCCUCACUUCAAAGCUCGUGUUCAGGGCCCUUAAAGUCAUAGUUAUUGCAAAACUGCGGCCGUCUGGCGAACCUGCCUUAUGUAAGGGUGCUUGAACGUAUGAUUCACCAAACAUUUCCGCAGACAUCGCAAAGUUGUUGGAGCCAGAGUAGGAGAAAGACCACCCAUUUGAGAUCAUGGCUUGACAGGUCUCACAGGACAACUCAUCUCUCCACCUCUAUCCCCGUUUGGCGAGGCCUGUAUUUCGUGCCGUUUUUUUUUGGGGGGGGGCGGGGGAGUGGGGGGGGGUCAAGUUAACUCAUCUUUCAUGAUUUGUCUUAGGGAACACUCCCUCCUGCCACCAGAAUGGGACCAAUCUAGACAUCUCUUCUCUGGCUUCCUUGUGCCUGGCCUUUUUUGGAGGGUUGGGAUAGUGGCCUGUCUUCAUGCAUGGUGAGAUAACACCAACAUCGAAGGAAGAUCUUUGCCACAGAGGAUCCUAGUUCCAGCUCCCAGGUAUCGGCCCCAACGCCUCCUAUCUUGUGGAUCGAGUUCCUGUGGAGGAAGCUAACACAGCGGUAAGCAAAUGUGGACUGACAGAGGACACAGGGCCAUUCGAGAAACUGUCAGAAACUGAGAAUCACCUCAGAACACGCUGAGAAGGAGAGCUAAGGAGGUGAGGCCUGGGUUGUGGGAGGUUGGCACCUGACAGCAGUGGUUCCCACUGCUGGGUUCUCUUCUGGUUUUGAUUGUCUACGCUCAGGCUUCAGAGCCCUGGGCAUGAGAAAAAAAAAGGGAGAAUGAAUACGUUAGUAUUCCAUGAAGGCAUAGAAGCAGGUAUGUGGGAAUGGCUGUCGUUCCAUCUUCUGGGUAGUCAUGGCUGUCAGGUGGGAGGCCCAGGGAGAGCCAGUGUCCCGUCAGUCAAAACCAUGGCAGGGUGGCUUACAUUCUAUCUCAGAUAAAUUCUUUUUGUUUGGUAGAGAAGCAUUCUCUCUGCUCUAUUUCAGCUUCGGUUAAAUGGACUACGAGGACCCACGUCAUAGAGGGAAGUCUGUCUCACUGAUUCUGAUUUUUUUCAAAUAAAAUGUUUUCUUUAA